rnacentral:rRNA from 1 species
GACGGAGGAUGCAAGUGUUAUCCGGAAUCACUGGGCGUAAAGCGUCUGUAGGUGGUUUAAUAAGUCAACUGUUAAAUCUUGAGGCUCAACCUCAAAAUCGCAGUCGAAACUAUUAGGCUAGAGUAUAGUAGGGGUAAAGGGAAUUUCCAGUGGAGCGGUGAAAUGCGUAGAUAUCGGGAGGAACACCAGUGGCGAAGGCGGAGACCUGGGCACAUACUGACGCUGAGGUGCGAAAGCGUGGGGAGCAAACAGG